CCUACGGGGGGCAGCAGUGGGGAAUAUUGGACAAUGGGGGCAACCCUGAUCCAGCCAUGCCGCGUGUGUGAAGAAGGCCCUCGGGUUGUAAAGCACUUUCAGUGAGGAAGAACGCCUGGUGGUUAAUACCCAUCAGGAAAGACAUCACUCACAGAAGAAGCACCGGCUAACUCCGUGCCAGCAGCCGCGGUAAUACGGAGGGUGCGAGCGUUAAUCGGAAUUACUGGGCGUAAAGCGCGCGUAGGUGGCUUGAUAAGCCGGUUGUGAAAGCCCCGGGCUUAACCUGGGAACGGCAUCCGGAACUGUCAAGCUAGAGUGCAGGAGAGGAAGGUAGAAUUCCCGGUGUAGCGGUGAAAUGCGUAGAGAUCGGGAAGAAUACCAGUGGCGAAGGCGGCCUUCUGGACGGACACUGACACUGAGGUGCGAAAGCGUGGGUAGCAAACAGGAUUAGAUACCCCUGUAGUC
rnacentral:rRNA from 1 species